rnacentral:rRNA from 1 species
ACUUUAAUUGAAGAGUUUGAUCAUGGCUCAGAUUGAACGCUGGCGGCAGGCCUAACACAUGCAAGUCGAGCGGUAACAUUUCAAAAGCUUGCUU